UAUGCCUUCCAUGGUUUAAUUUUUUUUUUUUUUUUUUGAGAGGGUGUCACUGUGUUACCCAGGCUGGAGUACAGUGAUGCAACCACAGCUCAUUGCAACCUCCACCUUCUGGGCUCAAGCAAUCCUCCCACCUCAGCCUCCUGAGUAGCUCCCGUGUGCAUUGAAGCUGGGACCAUAGGGACACACCACCAUGCCCAGCUAAUUUAAAAAUUUUUUUGUAGACAUGGGGUCUAUGUUGCCCAGGGUGACCUUGAACUCCUGAGCUCAAAUGAUC
rnacentral:lncRNA from 10 species